rnacentral:rRNA from 1 species
GAUGAACGCUGGCGGCGUGCUUAACACAUGCAAGUCGAACGGUGAACGAGGGAGCUUGCUCCCUCCGGAUCAGUGGCGAACGGGUGAGUAACACGUGAGCAAUCUGCCCUGGACUCUGGGAUAAGCGUUGGAAACGACGUCUAAUACCGGAUACGAGGCGUGGGGGCAUCCCCAACGCCUGGAAAGAACUUCGGUCCAGGAUGAGCUCGCGGCCUAUCAGGUAGUUGGUGAGGUAAUGGCUCACCAAGCCUACGACGGGUAGCCGGCCUGAGAGGGUGACCGGCCACACUGGGACUGAGACACGGCCCAGACUCCUACGGGAGGCAGCAGUGGGGAAUAUUGCACAAUGGGCGAAAGCCUGAUGCAGCAACGCCGCGUGAGGGACGACGGCCUUCGGGUUGUAAACCUCUUUUGUCGGGGAAGAAACGCUCUGGGUUAAUACCUCGGGGUAAUGACGGUACCUGAAGAAUAAGCACCGGCUAACUAC